rnacentral:lncRNA from 1 species
UGAAAGUCAAUCUACCUGAAAUUACCUAGGCAUGGUGUUGUUCGCGUCGCACAUCGGCGCACGGUGUGGCCUGACGCACACGGUGAUGGAACUUGAAGGGUUACUGACGUGCAAACGCUGGUAUUUGAUUUCCUGUGUUGUUGCCUCAGCAUUAAAGGCAUUUGUUUCCCUUUGCGGUCUUACUAAAACACUCUGAGAACUAUUCCGAGUUUCAUAGUAAUCUUUCCUGUCCAUGUAACAACUUCAUGACCGUUGCUGCAUUGUCCAAUUCCUACUGACGACAUUAUAGCUGUACGGACUUAACUUUAUAAGGAAAUGUAUUUUGACACUGAUAUCUUAUUAAAGUAUUCUGAU